UCCUAUCUCCUCCCCCCAACCCAUCUUUGCCGAUUUCUCGGUCAAAAACUUUGGAGUCUUCCAUGAAUCCUGUCUUUGUCUCGCACUUCAUAUCUAGUUCCAGAAUCUGAUCCCUUGUUGCCUGGUCUAAGCCACCAUCAUCUCUCACUGAGACUAACUUGUUGACUCUCCUACAGCCUAUUUCAAAUACAGCAGUCAGAGUGACUGUUUUAAAAUAAAGGCAAAUCAUGUCCUUCUUCUGCUAGAAACCCUGCACCUUCACCUAUGAGUGAAGACAAAGUCCUUUCUGGUAGUCUCCAAGAUCCACAACAUCUGUCCCCAUUCCUCUCUGGCCUCACCUGCUACUGCUCUCCCCACUCCACUCCAGCCCCAUGUCCUUACUGGUCCUCAGACUCCCUCCAGGCGUGUGCCUGCCUGUGCUGUUCCCUCUGCCAGGAAUGCUUCCUUGCAGAUACACGCAUGCAUGGCCAGCUCUCACACCUCCUUCAAGUCUGCUGACCUACCACUUCUCAGUGAGGUCCACCUUGUUACUUCCCAACGCCCUAGCUCCCACCCUAACUUCCUCUUCUUUUCCUUUUUUUCACCACACUUAUCACCUUUUGCCAUAACAGACAAAUUGUCUACUAUGUUUUUUAACUUAUAUUCUGUCUUUUUUCCCUUACAUUCCCAGAGUGAAUGGAGGCAGGGGCCCACAUUCACUGUGGCAUGCCCAUUACUGGGGUAGGUGUCUUUAUUUUGUUCACUAGUGUUUCAGAGCCUACAACAUGCCUGGCACACAUCAGGUACUUAAUAUUUGAUGAUUGAAUAAAUACAUGAAUGAAUGAAUGGAAUUUUCUGUCCUCCUUUUACUGUCUCACUCCCAAGUAUAUCUUCAGUUUAACCUCUUCCCAUUCUGACAUCUGCACUUUAUACUUCAUUUCUCGGCAUUUCCUUAACAUUCCAGGGUAAACCCCUACCUGUUUUAAAGGUGUCUCUUGGGGCAGUCUUUGGAGCUCCUCCAGGCAGGGUGAGCAGCUCUUCCUCUGCACAUUCACACCUCUGUCCUGACUGGCCCACUACCCCUCUGUCUCUCUACAGGCGGUGAGGACCAUGACUUGCACCUCUUCAUAUCCUCAAAACCUGUUAUCAUUAUAGGUGCACAGUCCGUAUUUGCUGACUGAAUGCAAGAAUAAAACAUUUUAUCCAAAUAGUAUAGCGAUUUAUAAUUCAGAGAAAUAAAUGGCUUCUCCAAAAAUAGUUAUUUUCAUACAAAAUGUACAUUCCAAAGAUGGAAACCUGCGUUUGCUUUUCAUCUACGUUUAUAGAGAAAAGCCUCACUGCCUGGUCAUGUGCCAUGCAUGGCCUAUGCACCCUAGACCCCUACAGACAGCUACCAAAAGUGCUGCAUAGCCAUUUGGGAGAGGUCCCUUACAAAUCCAGUCUGUUCUAGAUAUCUAGGGCCAGGCCAGUGUUUAUUACCACUGUGGUUAGGUUGCUUUCCUCUAUUUGCUUCUCAUUCACAUGAAUUACUGUGAUUCUGAAAUUGCAAUUAAUGGUAACUUUUUUUUUCUCUGUGGUAUUUUACAGAAAUGUAUAGUCGUUUGCUCUUAGAGAAAGAACCCAUUCCAGUGUUGACUUCAAGACCAUAAGUUAUUUCAAAACUAUGUAAAGAUUGACAAUCCAGUAAUAACCUGUCACUACACAUACCCAGAUUUUCCCUGUAAACUGUAAUAUUUAACAUGAAAUGUUAAAUUCUGAUGCCAGAGUUCAUCAAAAACUAAACUGUUGCCUGCUUUUUGUGUCUUUGUUCAUUUUUUUAGAUCAGAGGCUUUGAAACUGCUUACUGCAUUGAUAGCAUGGGAAAAACAAAUGGGGGCUUUGUUGAACUAGGACCCUGCCACAGGAUGGGAGGGAAUCAGCUUUUCAGAAUCAAUGAAGCAAAUCAACUCAUGCAGUAUGACCAGUGUUUGACAAAGGGAGCUGAUGGAUCAAAAGUUAUGAUUACACACUGUAAUCUAAAUGAAUUUAAGGAAUGGCAGUACUUCAAGAACCUGCACAGAUUUACUCAUAUUCCUUCAGGAAAGUGUUUAGAUCGCUCAGAGGUCCUGCAUCAAGUAUUCAUCUCCAAUUGUGACUCCAGUAAAACGACUCAAAAAUGGGAAAUGAAUAACAUCCAUAGUGUUUAGAGAGAAAAAAAUAAACCAAUAACCUACCUACUGACAAGUAAAUUUAUACAGGACUGAAAACCGCCUGAAACCUGCUGCAACUAUUGUUAUUAACUCUGUAUAGCUCCAAACCUGGAACCUCCUGAUCAGUUUGAAGGACAUUGAUAAACUGUGAUUUUACAAUAACAUUAUCAUCUGCAGUUACUGUUUACAAGACUGCUUUUACCUUAAACUUUGUAGAUGUUUACAUCUUUUUGUUGUGUUUUAAGAUGAUGUUGGUAAUUUGUGCCUUUAGCUCUGUUUUAUUAGACAGAGUUAAAGCAUGUUGUCUUCUUUGGGAUUACACUCAGGGGUCUGAAAGGCAGUUUGAUUUUUAUUUUUAACACACUUGAAAAAAGGUUGGAGUAGCCAGACUUUCAUAUAUAACUUGGUGAUUAUCAACCUGUUGUGUCUUUAUUUAAUUUUACAUCUUUUUGAAGCACUGCCACAGGUUAUUAGCCAAGGUGGCCUUCCUUCACAGUCAUGCUGCUUUUUUGAAAGGUGAAUUUCAACACAUUUAGUGCCUCUUUCAUUUCUCAGUAUAUAUUUCAAGAGCUUGUGAUGAAAUUUAUAGGAUGGUAAUGAUGGACUUGUCACCUGUAUGGGGAAUACUUUUACUACUCAGAAAUGAAUUUGUGUGCUGCCAUUUGCUAUAAAGUUGAACUUUGUAUGGCUUGAAAAAGAAAUGACAAUAUGGAACAUCCCAAGGCUGUCCCAUAGGGUUGGAAGUUGUGUAGCAUUCACUCCCUUACCUACUGGCAUUCCCAGUGCCCUCUGUCCAUACCUACUUCUAGGAUUGCAAAGGAGUCUUCCAACUAGAGAAAAAUUGUCCACUGACAUUUGGGAUUUACUUUUCUCCAAUACCUGCCAAUACAGAAAACUAUUAUCGGUUGUUAUUGUUAUCCCUUGAAAGCGAGGGUGACAAAAACAACAAAACACCGUUAUAAACACAUCAAAGGUUCAUUCUGACUGAGGUAAGACUUUCCAAGCCCUUGUUAGAUUAGGCCUUAUAAAACUUGUGUGCAUUAUAACCUAAGCUGUGCAACCUGUGAAGCCAAGAGUGAACUGAUGUUUCAUUUAUAUUUUCAUCCAAAUGACAUUAUCUGCACGUUUUUAAAAUUUAAAAACAAAGGACUAUUUAAAAAUACAGUUUAUUAACAAACGUGAACUACUUUCUGUUACAUUAGGUGUUCCCUAGUGUUUCUUAAUUUCUUUUUAGAAAGUGUAUUUUUAUUAGUAUUUUUCCGGUGAACAGAAGAUUUGUUUGGAUUUAAACAUUUACUAAGACAGUACCUAUUAGGAAAACCAAAUAUUGCAAAUGGUCAAUUCGAUUUUAAUUUCUCAAAAGAUACUCUGUUAUCCAGAAGAUUAAAAUGCCUACAUUGAGUGCUU
rnacentral:sRNA from 1 species